AAAAGAAACCAACAGGGAUUGCCCUAGUAACGGCGAGUGAAGCGGCAACAGCUCAAAUUUGAAAUCUGGCCUUCGGGUCCGAGUUGUAAUUUGCAGAGGAUGCUUUGGGCGCGGUGCCUUCCGAGUUCCCUGGAACGGGACGCCUUAGAGGGUGAGAGCCCCGUACGGUUGGACACCAAGCCUCUGUAAAGCUCCUUCGACGAGUCGAGUAGUUUGGGAAUGCUGCUCUAAAUGGGAGGUAAAUUUCUUCUAAAGCUAAAUAUUGGCCAGAGACCGAUAGCGCACAAGUAGAGUGAUCGAAAGAUGAAAAGCACUUUGAAAAGAGGGUUAAAUAGCACGUGAAAUUGUUGAAAGGGAAGCGUUUGCGACCAGACCUUUUCCCAGCGGAUCAUCCGGUGUUCUCACCGGUGCACUUCGCUGGGUUGAGGCCAGCAUCGGUUUUCGCAGGGGGAUAAAAGCUUGGGGAACGUAGCUCCCUCGGGAGUGUUAUAGCCCCUCGCAUAAUACCCUUGCGGGGACCGAGGACCGCGCUUCGGCAAGGAUGCUGGCGUAAUGGUCGUCAACGACCCGUCU
rnacentral:rRNA from 1 species